UUAUUUUUCCCCCCUUUGUCUCAGAGAUUGCCCUCAGUGGUUUUGAACCACCUGGGGGAAAAUUCCACAGGUUCCUGCCUGUCUCCUAGGCAGAGAGCAAGUGGUCCCACUCCAUCAAGCCAGUCCAACUUGCCAGGCACCCAACUGAGAGAAGACCACAAGUCACACAAGUCCUUGCCUUGACUGCUUCUGCUGUCUCCUGUCAUGACAAAGGAAUGAAUGAAGCACGAAACCUCCCCAGACCCAAAUUUGAAAGGUUCUAGGAGCAGCACUGUCUCACUGAAGCAGUACAAGUUUGAUUUCCAGAACAUCAGCCUGAGGACAGGAGCACCCACAAAAGAAAGGGGUGACAUAGUCUCUGCUCAGAAGGUGGCAGAUAUUUUUCCAGAACAACUAAAAUGAAAUGUUGGCCCAAGACUCAGCUGCAUCAAACAAGAAAAUAAAAUAAACUUCACAGAAGUUUACUCAGUGGUGUGCAUUUGCUG